rnacentral:rRNA from 1 species
UACGAGGGGUGCAAGCGUUGCUCGGAAUUAUUGGGCGUAAAGGGUAGGUAGGUGGUCUCAUUUGUCCGGGGUGAAAGCCUUGAGCUUAACUCAAGAAGUGCCCCGGAAACGGUGAGACUGGAGUCCUGGAGAGGGUCGUGGAAUUCCCGGUGUAGCGGUGAAUGCGUAGAGAUCGGGAGGAACACCAGAGGCGAAAGCGGCGACCUGGACAGGCACUGACACUCAACUACGAAAGCGUGGGGAGCAAACAGG